rnacentral:rRNA from 1 species
CCUACGGGCGGCUGCAGUGGGGAAUUUUGGGCAAUGGGCGAAAGCCUGACCCAGCAACGCCGCGUGAAGGAUGAAGUAUUUCGGUAUGUAAACUUCGUAAGAAUAGGAAGAAUAAAUGACGGUACUAUUUGUAAGGUCCGGCUAACUACGUGCCAGCAGCCGCGGUAAUACGUAGGGACCAAGCGUUGUUCGGAUUUACUGGGCGUAAAGGGCGCGUAGGCGGUGUGUCAAGUCAGUUGUGAAAUCUCCGAGCUUAACUCGGAACGGUCAACUGAUACUGUCACACUAGAGUACAGAAGGGGCAAUCGGAAUUCUUGGUGUAGCGGUGAAAUGCGUAGAUAUCAAGAGGAACACCUGAGGCGAAGGCGGGUUGCUGGGCUGAUACUGACGCUGAGGCGCGAAAGCUAGGGUAGCAAACGGGAUUAGAUACCCCUGUAGUC